AGCAACUCAUGCAUACAUAGAUUCAUUCUCAUCAUACUACCCCUUUUGUUAUAAUCACAAGUUCUACCCCCUUUUAUUAUCAUCUCAAAAUCAAAGCAAACCCCUCACAUCACUCACCCAAUGAACAACUCUCUUUUUCUUUUGACUCAACUACUAGGGAUUUUAAUUCACUCUUUACAAACUCUAACUUUUUUUCAUUCCCUUCCCCAACUUCUCUAUGAUUUUUUAUUUUUUUUAUAUUUGUUUUUAUUAGGGGGAAGGUUCUUUGUUACAUAAUCAAGAGUUUCACACCUUUUUUUUUUUAUCCCUAGAGUUUUCAUUUCUAUUUAAUCUCUUUUGCUCAUCUCUCUUAUCUUUCUCACUCUCCAAAACCCAAGAUAUUAACAUUUAGAACACAUAAACCCCUCUCACCAUCCCCAAAUGCUAGCUUAUUUUGCUAGCAAGAGAUGAGAACAAAUCUAUGUCGCCUCCAAUACUC
rnacentral:lncRNA from 1 species